GAUGCACAAAUUUGGGGGUUCUUACAAUUUUAAAUCCCAAACAUUAUGUAUGUUGGUGUUGCUAUUGAGUCCAAAAAUAGAUAUUUGCAGUUAGUUUGUAUGCAUAUUUUUCUUACUCAUAUGUAUGAAAAAAAGAAACAGAAAGUUUUUUGCUGCUAAUUUUUAUGCAAUUUUUUGCUGCUAGUUUUUCUGCAUUUUUUUUUCUGCUGGGUUUUAUGCAUUUUUGCUGCUAGUUUUUAUUCAUAUCUUUGCCUUGUGUUUACAGUUUACUGCUUCCGACUCCAAGCAUGCGUCCAUCCGCCCUGCAGCCAAAGUUCUUUGGCAGUGGCCACCCGUCAUCUCUGGCCCAGCUGGUUUCGAGGUUGGGGCAUUUGGGCCGCUGGGUCAGCGUUGUUGGGUGGCCAUAUGGCAAUCAGUGCCGGAUGGACGCUUUUUACCUGGCACAUUUUUUUGGGAAAAUAUAUAUGAUUUUGUUGGGAGUGCUGAUGGCCGUCACCCGGAGUCAGCACUCAUAUACAAUUUAUUUGUGCAGUUAGUUAUUUGCAGUUAGUUUGGGCUUGCCAUGUUCGCAGGUGGCCCUUGCUGCUUGGAGUCGAGACAUUAUAUGCCAGAACCAUUUUUUUAUGUUUUUAUGUUAUAAGGUCCUUUAAUAAAAAGUAAAAAUUUA